CCCUACGGGGCGCACCAGGCGCGAAACCUCUGCAAUAGGCGAAAGCUUGACAGGGUUACUCUGAGUGAUGCCCGCUAAGGGCAUCUUUUGGCACCUCUAAAAAUGGUGCAGAAUAAGGGGUGGGCAAGUCUGGUGUCAGCAGCCGCGGUAA
rnacentral:rRNA from 1 species